rnacentral:sRNA from 1 species
CUAAAAUGAUAUUUUAGCAGCUAGUGUUUCAGUUUAUAUCUCUGCAAUCAAAACUCUUUGAAUACUGUUAUACACAUGUAAAAUGUAAUAAAUCUGUUCUUUGUUAUUUUUUAAUAUAAUAAUAUUUACAUAAUUGUUCAGUUAUUUAGCUUUUCAAAAAUUUUUUAACUUGGUGCCCGUCCUUAUUCUUUCUACACAUACCUGUAAUUUGUUUAUUGUAUGGUAAUUCUGAUGAAUAUACAUGUGUUUGUAUUCUUUUAGUCUGAGUUUUAUACAAGUCUAUUUGAAUUUCUUUUUAUACAAUGUUCAUGCAGCCCACUGUAGAAUUUUUGAGAUCAUGAGCUUAAAAUUAUUUUCAAAAUUGAAACAAAGGAACUUACUGGUAGGUUUAAAGGGGUAUGGUCACUAUUUGAACUGAAGAUUUCCAAAUCUCAUAUUAGAUUUUAUUGUCAAUUUUGAUUUAUGUUUGUUAUUCCUUAACUUAAAUAUUGAGAUACGAUCAAAAUAAACAGCUUGAUCCAAUUAGGUAAACAAGGUUUGUGCCCUUUUCUUUUUUUUUUCAAAUAUGGUAUUGCUGAAAAAUGAUUAUAUGUUCUACACAAAAUCAUGAACAGAACAAAAUAUUUAUAUACACAUGUAUUAAUAACUUAUUGAGUAAACAAAAACAUAGCACACAUCCUGUAUGCAGAACAAAGAAUUGUGAGCUAAUCUCGCGUGUAAAACAUUAAAGUUUUGGCCAUGUAAAAGAAAUAGCUGUACCAAAAAUACAGCAGUUUAAAUAUAAAGUUUGAAAUUCUCAGAUUAUGACUAUAUCCCUUAACUCUUUCAACUGCAGUUACUUAUUAUUUGUUCUUUUUACAAAAGAUACAUGAAAGUGGCGCAAUUAAAAAGCAUAAUAAAGUUUUGCUAGAAUAGGAAAAGCAACUACUGGUAACUUUUAAAUCUUAACUACACAAUUUGUAUAUCUACAUGUACAUUGUAGAUGAAUAUUAAAAUGGUUGAACUAUACUUGUAGAUUAUAUUCAGAAUAUUAAAUAUUUCAGAUACAGUGUAUUAGUAGUUCAGGUGUUGGAUAAAGUACUGAAACUAAAGUUGUACAUAUCAUCGUAACUAUUUUUAUAUAUGUGAGCCAUACAUAUCAUUUUAAUCAAUGCAAAAUUUAAGUUGAUAUUCUGUACAAAUAUAAGAAAUUCAUUUUGUGUAUGAAAUAAAAACAAGAGAACUGU